GCCCUGGCAGUCAGAGGCGAUGAAGGACGUGCUAAUCUGCGAUAAGCGUCGGUAAGGUGAUAUGAACCGUUAUAACCGGCGAUUUCCGAAUGGGGAAACCCAGUGUGAUUCGUCACACUAUCAUUAACUGAAUCCAUAGGUUAAUGAGGCGAACCGGGGGAACUGAAACAUCUAAGUACCCCGAGGAAAAGAAAUCAACCGAGAUUCCCCCAGUAGCGGCGAGCGAACGGGGAGGAGCCCAGAGCCUGAAUCAGUGUGUGUGUUAGUGGAAGCGUCUGGAAAGGCGCGCGAUACAGGGUGACAGCCCCGUACACAAAAAUACACAUGCUGUGAGCUCGAUGAGUAGGGCGGGACACGUGGUAUCCUGUCUGAAUAUGGGGGGACCAUCCUCCAAGGCUAAAUACUCCUGACUGACCGAUAGUGAACCAGUACCGUGAGGGAAAGGCGAAAAGAACCCCGGCGAGGGGAGUGAAAAAGAACCUGAAACCGUGUACGUACAAGCAGUGGGAGCACAGAGCAAUCUGUGUGACUGCGUACCUUUUGUAUAAUGGGUCAGCGACUUAUAUUCUGUAGCAAGGUUAACCGAAUAGGGGAGCCGAAGGGAAACCGAGUCUUAACUGGGCGUUAAGUUGCAGGGUAUAGACCCGAAACCCGGUGAUCUAGCCAUGGGCAGGUUGAAGGUUGGGUAACACUAACUGGAGGACCGAACCGACUAAUGUUGAAAAAUUAGCGGAUGACUUGUGGCUGGGGGUGAAAGGCCAAUCAAACCGGGAGAUAGCUGGUUCUCCCCGAAAGCUAUUUAGGUAGCGCCUCGUGAAUUCAUCUCCGGGGGUAGAGCACUGUUUCGGCAAGGGGGUCAUCCCGACUUACCAACCCGAUGCAAACUGCGAAUACCGGAGAAUGUUAUCACGGGAGACACACGGCGGGUGCUAACGUCCGUCGUGAAGAGGGAAACAACCCAGACCGCCAGCUAAGGUCCCAAAGUCAUGGUUAAGUGGGAAACGAUGUGGGAAGGCCCAGACAGCCAGGAUGUUGGCUUAGAAGCAGCCAUCAUUUAAAGAAAGCGUAAUAGCUCACUGGUCGAGUCGGCCUGCGCGGAAGAUGUAACGGGGCUAAACCAUGCACCGAAGCUGCGGCAGCGACGCUUAUGCGUUGUUGGGUAGGGGAGCGUUCUGUAAGCCUGCGAAGGUGUGCUGUGAGGCAUGCUGGAGGUAUCAGAAGUGCGAAUGCUGACAUAAGUAACGAUAAAGCGGGUGAAAAGCCCGCUCGCCGGAAGACCAAGGGUUCCUGUCCAACGUUAAUCGGGGCAGGGUGAGUCGACCCCUAAGGCGAGGCCGAAAGGCGUAGUCGAUGGGAAACAGGUUAAUAUUCCUGUACUUGGUGUUACUGCGAAGGGGGGACGGAGAAGGCUAUGUUGGCCGGGCGACGGUUGUCCCGGUUUAAGCGUGUAGGCUGGUUUUCCAGGCAAAUCCGGAAAAUCAAGGCUGAGGCGUGAUGACGAGGCACUACGGUGCUGAAGCAACAAAUGCCCUGCUUCCAGGAAAAGCCUCUAAGCAUCAGGUAACAUCAAAUCGUACCCCAAACCGACACAGGUGGUCAGGUAGAGAAUACCAAGGCGCUUGAGAGAACUCGGGUGAAGGAACUAGGCAAAAUGGUGC
rnacentral:rRNA from 1 species